AUUGAACGCUGGCGGCAUGCCUUACACAUGCCAGUCGAACGGUAACGGGCCUUCGGGUGCCGACGAGUGGCGAACGGGUGAGUAAUACAUCGGAACGUGCCCGAUCGUGGGGGAUAACGAGGCGAAAGCUUUGCUAAUACCGCAUACGAUCUACGGAUGAAAGCAGGGGACCGCAAGGCCUUGCGCGGACGGAGCGGCCGAUGGCAGAUUAGGUAGUUGGUGGGAUAAAAGCUUACCAAGCCGACGAUCUGUAGCUGGUCUGAGAGGAUGAUCAGCCACACUGGGACUGAGACACGGCCCAGACUCCUACGGGAGGCAGCAGUGGGGAAUUUUGGACAAUGGGCGCAAGCCUGAUCCAGCCAUGCCGCGUGCAGGAUGAAGGCCUUCGGGUUGUAAACUGCUUUUGUACGGAACGAAAAGCCUUCUUUUAAUACAGGAGGGUCAUGACGGUACCGUAAGAAUAAGCACCGGCUAACUACGU
rnacentral:rRNA from 1 species